GACGAACGCUGGCGGCGUGCUUAACACAUGCAAGUCGAACGGAAAGGCCCUGCUUUUGUGGGGUGCUCGAGUGGCGAACGGGUGAGUAACACGUGAGUAACCUGCCCUUGACUUUGGGAUAACUUCAGGAAACUGGGGCUAAUACCGGAUAGGAGCUCCUGCUGCAUGGUGGGGGUUGGAAAGUUUCGGCGGUUGGGGAUGGACUCGCGGCUUAUCAGCUUGUUGGUGGGGUAGUGGCUUACCAAGGCUUUGACGGGUAGCCGGCCUGAGAGGGUGACCGGCCAAAUGGGGACUGAGAUACGGCCCAGACUCCUACGGGAGGCAGCAGUGGGGAAUAUUGCACAAUGGGGGGAAGCCUGAUGCAGCAACGCCGCGUGCGGGAUGUCGGCCUUCGGGGUGUAAACCGCUUUCGCCUGUGACGAAGCGUGAGUGACGGUAAUGGGUAAAGAAGCACCGGCUAACUACGUG
rnacentral:rRNA from 1 species